rnacentral:rRNA from 1 species
GAUGAACGCUGGCGGCGUGCCUAAUACAUGCAAGUCGAGCGAACGGACGAGAAGCUUGCUUUUCUGAUGUUAGCGGCGGACGGGUGAGUAACACGUGGAUAACCUACCUAUAAGACUGGGAUAACUUCGGGAAACCGGAGCUAAUACCGGAUAAUAUUUUGAACCGCAUGGUUCAAAAGUGAAAGACGGUCUUGCUGUCACUUAUAGAUGGAUCCGCGCUGCAUUAGCUAGUUGGUAAGGUAACGGCUUACCAAGGCAACGAUGCAUAGCCGACCUGAGAGGGUGAUCGGCCACACUGGAACUGAGACACGGUCCAGACUCCUACGGGAGGCAGCAGUAGGGAAUCUUCCGCAAUGGGCGAAAGCCUGACGGAGCAACGCCGCGUGAGUGAUGAAGGUCUUCGGAUCGUAAAACUCUGUUAUUAGGGAAGUACAUAUGUGUAAGUAACUGUGCACAUCUUGACGGUACCUAAUCAGAAAGCCACGGCUAACUACGUG